rnacentral:tRNA from 1 species
GCUGGGGUGAUGGAAUGGUAGACAUCGGGGACUUAAAAUCCCUUGCCCUUAUACGGCGUGCGGGUUCGAGUCCCGCCCCCAGCA